AGUUGUGUACUUCAUGUUGCAGUGCUUUUCUAAUUUAAGAACUGAUCUUACAGUUGGAAAGCAUGAGGUCAAGUUCACAGUGUGUGUAUUUUGGUUACGAGUCUUCAUCAGAAGAUGGAGUCACAUGGACAGUGGUCAGUCCUGUCGUCUUCACCUAUCGAGUCGUUCAGUGUGAGCGGCUUCUGGAUGCAAGCAAUGACACCUUACUGUUUGGCCAUAUCUCCAGCCCUACGGAGCUCCAGGCCCUUAAGAACAACAGUGAAGUAAUGAAGCGAUUCAUUGUGAUUGACGAGACUGUUAAUGAUCUAUACGGCUCCCAGGUGGCAGCAUAUUUCCAAGCGAGAGGAGUGACGUACAAGAUCCUUCCCUUACCCACAACUGAGGAGAACAAGUCCAUGACUCUAGUGACCAGAAUCUUGGAGGAGGUCCAUAAGUUUGGGAUUGACCGCCGUACGGAGCCCAUUAUUGCUAUCGGUGGUGGUGUGUGUCUGGAUAUCACAGGUCUCGCUGCAUCACUGUAUCGCAGACGUACUCCGUAUAUCCGUGUCCCUACUACUCUGCUGGCUUACAUUGAUGCCAGUGUGGGGGCAAAGACUGGGGUCAAUUUUGCCAACUGUAAAAAUAAGCUAGGGUCAUACAUCCCACCCGUGGCAGCGUUCCUGGACAGAAGUUUCCUCUGCACUCUGCCACGCCGCCAUAUUUCUAAUGGAAUGGCUGAAAUGCUGAAGAUGGCGCUGAUGAAACACAGAGGACUCUUUGAACUUUUGGAGAAGGAUGGCAGACAUUUGUUGGACUCCAGUUUCCAAUCAUCAGGGAGAAUGCCAGAAAAUAUACAUGGGGACGCAGCGAGUGUAUCCACGAGACUGGCCAUUGAAACCAUGCUGGAGGAACUUGCCCCAAACUUGUGGGAGGAUGACCUGGACCGGCUGGUGGACUUUGGCCAUAUCAUCAGUCCAGAGCUUGAAAUGAAAAUACUUCCUGCGCUUCUUCAUGGAGAGGCGGUGAACAUUGACAUGGCUUUCAUGGUCUAUGUGGCUCACGAAAGGGGCUUUCUGACAGAAGAGGAGAAAAGACGUAUCAUUGUGUGUAUGCGGAGCCUAGAUCUUCCAGUGUGGCAUUCAGACUGCACUCUGGAUCUAGUACUGAAGUCCCUUACUGAACGACUCAAGCACUCAGGAGGAUUUCUGAGAACGCCUCUACCCACAGCGCUAGGAAAAGCAAGAAUCUUCAAUGACACAGAAGAGAGCAUUGUGUGUCAAGCGUUCAAGAAAUGGUGUGAUGAACAGUGUGAAACCACCAUGAAACCAGAAUAACACACCACAGGAAAUGUUGAGUCUGAUUAUAUUCCUGAACCAAGAAAAACACGUGUGCUGCAAAAUGAAACGCAUCAAAUCAUGAAUGAAACCUCCAGAAAUUGUGAAAACCACUCAGUUUUAUUUCAAUGUCUGUAACAGUUUCAUUCUCAAUACACGUGACAAGCUUUAAAACCCAACAAUGAAAUGCUACUUUCCUCAUAAAGCUCACAUUAAGAGUGAAAGGUGACUUUCCCAACAGGUUUAAAGUGGGCUGGCUUCCAGAACUGAAUUCAUAGGAAAUUAAUGCUUUGUAAAGGAAAAAAAAAAAAAUCAACAUUACAAGCUAUCUUAAGUCCUUUCUUAAAUAAUGUUUGGUUAAGCUUCAAAAAUAUAAAACAAAAGUAUUUUAACAAAACGAAAGCCAUUUCUAGCCAAGAUACUUCUAUAAAAGACAGACUUGUGUUUGUUAUUAAAAGAUAUUUGGUUGAAGUUCCACAGAAGCCUGUUUUGAAGGCACCUUUCAUCGACGUCACUGAUACAUAUGCAUUCAUAUAGGAGCCUUGUGCUUUAACUGUUACCUGAUUGUCUGAAUUAUUGCUCAAAAAAAAAAAAAAAAAUUGCAACAGCCAGUUUUGCUAUAAAUUCACAACGACAUACUUAACAGUUUCACUGCAUAUUUAGACUCCACUUGGAAUUUGGCCACAUUUUAGUAGUCAACACUGUGUAACAUUACAUUCAGAGGAAGUUUUGUAGUGCUUCAAGACACUUCAGCUUUAAGCCAGAAUACAAUACAAUCCUGAUCAAAACCUAGGUUCGGUGGUCCUACUGAGAUAUCAUCCCCUCUACUUCACCCGAGGACCGAACCCGUUAGGUUCCACAGUCUAAGACUAAGUCUAAAAUCACAAAUAUAGAACAGAAGAUUUCAUUUAAAGGGAUAGUUCACACGAAAUAGAAAAUUAGGAACAUCGUCUUCUUACUCUCAUGUAGCUCCAAACCCAUGUACUGUACAUUUUUACAAAUUUGGGGUUUAUUUUUUUGUCCUUUUUGGAAAUUAGUAGUCCCUGUGGAAGCAUGGAACAAAAAAUAAAUAGGUAAUUGUGACUUUCUAGCA
ensembl:lncRNA